rnacentral:rRNA from 1 species
AUGGAGGAGUGCCACCGGUUGGGCCUGGCGAGGUCCGUCGGGGUGAGCAACUUCUCGGCGGCCAAGAUGGAGAGGCUGCUGGCUCUCGCCGCCGUGCCGCCGGCGGUCAACCAGGUGGAGAUGAACGUCGGGUGGAGACAGGAGAAGGUGCGGGAGGUGUGCGCCCGGCACGGCGUUGUUGUCUCCGCCUACUCGCCGCUCGGCGCGUACGGCGCCUUCUGGGGCUCCGACGCCGUCAUGGAGAGCGGCGUCUUGCACGACGUCGCCGCCGCCAGAGGCAAGACCGUCGCGCAGGUGGCGUUGAGGUGGCUAUACGAGCAGAGCGUGUGCUUUGUGGCGAGGAGCUACAAUGGUAAGAGGUUGAAGCAGAACAUGGAGAUCUUCGACUGGGAGUUGGGCGAGAAGGAGAAGGGGAUGAUUGACACGAUACCGCAGAGGAGGGCGUCUUUGGGUGAGCGUUUCAUGUCGCCCGACGGGCCUUACAAAACACCCGAGGAGCUCUGGGACAGCGAUAUAUGA